GGCGAGAUGGCCGAGCGGUCUAAGGCGCUACGUUAAGGAAUUCCUUAAUAACAUCCUCUUCUCCCCCGAAGAACGAUUCCGUAGUCCGAAAGGGCGUGGGUUCGAAUCCCACUCUCGUCA
rnacentral:tRNA from 1 species